CUACGGGGUGCUGCAGUAGGGAAUCUUCCGCAAUGGACGAAAGUCUGACGGAGCAACGCCGCGUGAGUGAUGAAGGUUUUCGGAUCGUAAAACUCUGUUGUUAGGGAAGAACAAGUACGAGAGUAACUGCUCGUACCUUGACGGUACCUAACCAGAAAGCCACGGCAACUACGUGCCAGCAGCCGCGGUAAUACGUAGGUGGCAAGCGUUGUCCGGAAUUAUUGGGCGUAAAGCGCGCGCAGGCGGUCCUUUAAGUCUGAUGUGAAAGCCCACGGCUCAACCGUGGAGGGUCAUUGGAAACUGGGGGACUUGAGUGCGGAAGAGAAGAGUGGAAUUCCACGUGUAGCGGUGAAAUGCGUAGAGAUGUGGAGGAACACCAGUGGCGAAGGCGACUCUUUGGUCUGUAACUGACGCUGAGGCGCGAAAGCGUGGGGAGCAAACAGGAUUAGAUACCCCUGUAGUC
rnacentral:rRNA from 1 species